rnacentral:rRNA from 1 species
GAUGAACGCUGGCGGUGUGCCUAAUACAUGCAAGUCGAGCGAACAGACGAGGAGCUUACUCCUCUGACGUUAGCGGCGGACGGGUGAGUAACACGUGGAUAACCUACCUAUAAGACUGGGAUAACUUCGGGAAACCGGAGCUAAUACCGGAUAACAUGUUGAACCGCAUGGUUCAACAGUGAAAGACGGUCUUGCUGUCACUUAUAGAUGGAUCCGCGUCGCAUUAGCUAGUUGGUAAGGUAACGGCUUACCAAGGCAACGAUGCGUAGCUGACCUGAGAGGGUGAUCGGCCACACUGGAACUGAGACACGGUCCAGACUCCUACGGGAGGCAGCAGUAGGGAAUCUUCCGCAAUGGGCGAAAGCCUGACGGAGCAACGCCGCGUGAGUGAAGAAGGUCUUCGGAUCGUAAAACUCUGUUAUUAGGGAAGAACAAAUGUGUAAGUAACUAUGCACGUCUUGACGGUACCUAAUCAGAAAGCCACGGCUAACUACGUG